AACGAACGCUGGCGGCAUGCCUAACACAUGCAAGUCGAACGAGACCUUCGGGUCUAGUGGCGCACGGGUGCGUAACGCGUGGGAAUCUGCCCUUGGGUUCGGAAUACCAGUUGGAAACGACUGCUAAUACCGGAUGAUGACGUAAGUCCAAAGAUUUAUCGCCCAAGGAUGAGCCCGCGUAGGAUUAGCUAGUUGGUGAGGUAAAGGCUCACCAAGGCGACGAUCCUUAGCUGGUCUGAGAGGAUGAUCAGCCACACUGGGACUGAGACACGGCCCAGACUCCUACGGGAGGCAGCAGUGGGGAAUAUUGGACAAUGGGCGAAAGCCUGAUCCAGCAAUGCCGCGUGAGUGAUGAAGGCGUUAGGGGUGUAAAGCUCUUUUACCCGGGAUGAUAAUGACAGUACCGGGAGAAUAAGCUGCGGCUAACUCCG
rnacentral:rRNA from 1 species